CAGAGUAGGAAUGCGCGCGUACAGUGCCGCCCCGACGGGGAGUUGCGGAGCGGACGAAAGGGCUUUGCCCUGCGGUGCGUAUUCCGCAUCCCGCUG
rnacentral:ncRNA from 1 species